rnacentral:rRNA from 1 species
GACGAACGCUGGCGGCGUGCCUAAUACAUGCAAGUUGAGCGCUGAAGGUUGGUACUUGUACCAACUGGAUGAGCAGCGAACGGGUGAGUAACGCGUGGGUAAUCUGCCUUUGAGCGGGGGACAACUUCUGGAAACGAAUGCUAAUACCGCAUAAAAACUUUAAACACAAGGUUUAAGAUUGAAAGAUGCAAUUGCUUCACUCAAAGAUGAUCUCGCGUGGGAUUAGCUAGUUGGUGAGGUAAAGGCUCACCAAGGGGAUGAUACAUAGCCGACCUGAGAGGGUGGUCGGCCACAAUGGGACUGAGAAACGGCCCAAACUCCUACGGGAGGGAGCAGUAGGGAAUCUUUGGCAAUGGACGGAAGUCUGGCCGGGGAACGCCGCGGGAGGUAAGAAGGUUUUCCGGACGUUAAACUCUGUUGAUAGGGAAGAAAGUUGGUUGGAGUGAAAAGCGCAUGAAGUGACGGUAACUACCCAGAAAGGGACGGCUAACUACGUG